rfam:Triticum urartu cultivar G1812 contig131214, whole genome shotgun sequence.
GGACUACUCCCUCCGUCCGGAAUUACUUGUCGCAUAAAUGGAUAAAAAAUGGAUGUAUCUAGAACUAAAAUACGUCUAGAUACAUCCAUUUCUCCGACAAGUAUUUCCCGACGGAGGGAGUACAUC